rnacentral:rRNA from 1 species
GUCUAUGGCCAUGCCACCCCAAACACGCCUGUCUGAACUCGGAAGCAAGCAGGGUUGGGCCUGGUUAGUACUUGGAUGGGAGAUCACCUAGGAAGACCCGGUGCUGUAGGCG